rnacentral:rRNA from 1 species
UGGGGAAUAUUGCACAAUGGGCGCAAGCCUGAUGCAGCCAUGCCGCGUGUGUGAAGAAGGCCUUCGGGUUGUAAAGCACUUUGCAGCGAGGAGGAAGGUGGUGGACUUAAUACGUUCAUCAAUUGACGUUACUCGCAGAAGAAGCACCGGCUAACUCCGUGCCAGCAGCCGCGGUAAUACGGAGGGUGCAAGCGUUAAUCGGAAUUACUGGGCGUAAAGCGCACGCAGGCGGUUUGUUAAGUCAGAUGUGAAAUCCCCGGGCUCAACCUGGGAACUGCAUUUGAAACUGGCAAGCUAGAGUCUCGUAGAGGGGGGCUAGAAUUCCAGGUGUAGCGGUGAAAUGCGUAGAGAUCUGGAGGAAUACCGGUGGCGAAGGCGGCCCCCUGGACGAAGACUGACGCUCAGGUGCGAAAAGGCGU